rnacentral:lncRNA from 1 species
UUAUCUUGAAUAAUAGGAUAUAAAAAUAAAUUUAUAUAAUUUAAUCUAAUCGAUAAAUUUAUAUAAUUUACAAAGUAUUAUAAAUAAUAAAUUAGGAUUAAUUUCAUACAGAUCCCUACAAACAUAAUGAAUAGCAAAUAUAUCCUUACAAAGUUUAACUUUCAUAUAUUGUCUCUACAAAAAUCUUGAUGUUUUCAAGUAUAUCCCUGCCGUUAGAAUCAAUUAGAAAAAUUAAGUUAAUCAUCAGCUAAAUACUUAACCUUGUUAGUUUUUAACAUUUUUAUCUCUCUUAUAUUAUAUUGUUAUGAUUUUUGAAGGGGCAUAUUUGUAAUGACAAAAUUGAAAAUAUAAACAGUUUUCUAACAAUAACAAACCAGAGAGACGUAUUUGAAAAUAUUACGACUUUUGUAGAAAUAACAUAUAAAAGUUGAAUUUUAUAAGAAUAUAUUUAUCAUUCACUAUAUUUAAAGAAAUAUGUAUGAAAUUAACCCUAUAAAUAUAUGUUUGUAAGAAGUAUUUCCAGUAUGAAUGCAUUUAAA